rnacentral:rRNA from 1 species
AUUGAACGCUGGCGGCAUGCCUUACACAUGCAAGUCGAACGGUAACGGGCCUUCGGGUGCCGACGAGUGGCGAACGGGUGUGUAAUACAUCGUAACGUUCCCGAUCGUUGGGGUAACGAGGCGAAAGCUUUGCUAAUACCUCAUUCGAUCUACGGAUGAAAGCAUGGUACCUCCAUGCCUUUCGCUGACGUUGCGUCCGAUGGCCGAUUAGGUAGUUGGUUGGUUAAAAGCUUACCAAGCCGACGAUCUGUAGCUGGUCUGAGAGGAUGAUCAGCCACACUGGGACUGAGACACGGCACAGACUCCUACGGGAGGCAGCAGUGGGGAAUGUUGGACAAUGGGCGAAAGCAUGAUCCAGCAAUGCCGAGUGCAGGAUGAAGGCCUUCGGGUUGUAAACUGAUUUUGUACGGAACGAAAAGCCUUCUUUUAAUACAGGAGGGUCAUGACGGUACCGUAAGAAUAAGCACCGGCUAACUACGUG